CAUUCCGAAAGGAAUGCUAAUACCGCAUACGUCCUACGGGAGAAAGCAGGGGAUCUUCGGACCUUGCGCUAAUAGAUGAGCCUAAGUCGGAUUAGCUAGUUGGUGGGGUAAAGGCCUACCAAGGCGACGAUCUGUAGCGGGUCUGAGAGGAUGAUCCGCCACACUGGGACUGAGACACGGCCCAGACUCCUACGGGAGGCAGCAGUGGGGAAUAUUGGACAAUGGGGGAAACCCUGAUCCAGCCAUGCCGCGUGUGUGAAGAAGGCCUUAUGGUUGUAAAGCACUUUAAGCGAGGAGGAGGCUACUGAGACUAAUACUCUUGGAUAGUGGACGUUACUCGCAGAAUAAGCACCGGCUAACUCUGUGCCAGCAGCCGCGGUAAUACAGAGGGUGCGAGCGUUAAUCGGAUUUACUGGGCGUAAAGCGUGCGUAGGCGGCUUUUUAAGUCGGAUGUGAAAUCCCCGAGCUUAACUUGGGAAUUGCAUUCGAUACUGGGAAGCUAGAGUAUGGGAGAGGAUGGUAAAAUUCCAGUGUAGCGGUGAAUGCGUAGAGAUCU
rnacentral:rRNA from 1 species